GACGAACGCUGGCGGCGUGCCUAAUACAUGCAAGUCGAACGCACGAAGUUGAAGAGCUUGCUCUUUAACCAAGUGAGUGGCGGACGGGUGAGUAACACGUGGGUAACCUGCCCAUUAGAGGGGGAUAACAUUCGGAAACGGAUGCUAAUACCGCAUAGUUUCAGGGAUCGCAUGAUUCUUGAAGGAAAGGUGGCUCCGGCUACCACUAAUGGAUGGACCCGCGGCGUAUUAGCUAGUUGGUGAGGUAAUGGCUCACCAAGGCAAUGAUACGUAGCCGACCUGAGAGGGUGAUCGGCCACACUGGGACUGAGACACGGCCCGGACUCCUACGGGAGGCAGCAGUAGGGAAGCUUCCGCAAUGGACGAAAGUCUGACGGAGCAACGCCGCGUGAGUGAAGAAGGUUUUCGGAUCGUAAAACUCUGUUGUUAAAGAAGAACAAGGAUGAGAGUAACUGCUCAUCCCCUGACGGUAUUUAACCAGAAAGCCACGGCUAACUACGUGCCAGCAGCCGCGGUAAUACGUAGGUGGCAAGCGUUGUCCGGAUUUAUUGGGCGUAAAGCGAGCGCAGGCGGUUCUUUAAGUCUGAUGUGAAAGCCCCCGGCUCAACCGGGGAGGGUCAUUGGAAACUGGAGAACUUGAGUGCAGAAGAGGAGAGUGGAAUUCCACGUGUAGCGGUGAAAUGCGUAGAUAUGUGGAGGAACACCAGUGGCGAAGGCGACUCUCUGGUCUGUAACUGACGCUGAGGCUCGAAAGUGUGGGGAGCAAACAGG
rnacentral:rRNA from 1 species